rnacentral:rRNA from 1 species
AUUGAACGCUGGCGGCAUGCUUUACACAUGCAAGUCGAACGGUAACAGGCCUUCGGGUGCUGACGAGUGGCGAACGGGUGAGUAAUGCAUCGGAACGUGCCCAGAGGUGGGGGAUAACGCAGCGAAAGCUGUGCUAAUACCGCAUGUGAUCUGAGGAUGAAAGCGGGGGACCAAGCAGCAAUGUUUGGCCUCGCGCCUCUGGAGCGGCCGAUGUCAGAUUAGGUAGUUGGUGGGGUAAAGGCCUACCAAGCCGACGAUCUGUAGCUGGUCUGAGAGGACGACCAGCCACACUGGGACUGAGACACGGCCCAGACUCCUACGGGAGGCAGCAGUGGGGAAUUUUGGACAAUGGGCGCAAGCCUGAACCAGCAAUGCCGCGUGCGGGAAGAAGGCCUUCGGGUUGUAAACCGCUUUUGUACGGAACGAAAAGGCUCUGGCUAAUACCUGGGGCUGAUGACGGUACCGUAAGAAUAAGCACCGGCUAACUACGUG